rnacentral:rRNA from 1 species
UACAUGGGGUGCAAACGUUGCUCGGAAUUAUUGGGCGUAAAGCGCGCGCAGGCGGUCCUUUAAGUCUGAUGUGAAAGCCCACGGCUCAACCGUGGAGGGUCAUUGGAAACUGGGGGACUUGAGUGCAGAAGAGGAGAGCGGAAUUCCACGUGUAGCGGUGAAAUGCGUAGAGAUGUGGAGGAACACCAGUGGCGAAGGCGGCUCUCUGGUCUGUAACUGACGCUGAGGCGCGAAAGCGUGGGGAGCGAACAGG